GACGAACGCUGGCGGCGUGCUUAACACAUGCAAGUCGAGCGAGGCCCUCCUUCGGGAGGUGUCCUAGCGGCGAACGGGUGAGUAACACGUGGGCAACCUGCCCUCAGCUCUGGGAUAACCCCAAGAAAUUGGGGCUAAUACCGGAUACGACCGCUGACCGCAUGGUCUGGUGGUGGAAAGAUUUAUCGGCUGAGGAUGGGCCCGCGGCCUAUCAGCUUGUUGGUGGGGUAGUGGCCUACCAAGGCGACGACGGGUAGCCGGCCUGAGAGGGUGACCGGCCACACUGGGACUGAGACACGGCCCAGACUCCUACGGGAGGCAGCAGUGGGGAAUAUUGCGCAAUGGGCGGAAGCCUGACGCAGCGACGCCGCGUGGGGGAUGACGGCCUUCGGGUUGUAAACCUCUUUCAGCAGGGACGAAGCGAAAGUGACGGUACCUGCAGAAGAAGCACCGGCCAACUACGUGCCAGCCGCCGCGGUAACAC
rnacentral:rRNA from 1 species